rnacentral:snoRNA from 1 species
UCCCAAUGAUGAGUUGCCAUGCUAAUACUGAGACACCAGGGUAGGGCAGUGUUGCCCUAGUUUGGGUGCCAGUGAGUUUAACAAAACUUCUCACGUGGAGACCUGAGGGGC